rnacentral:rRNA from 1 species
GGCGAGGGGAGUGAAAAAGAACCUGAAACCGUGUACGUACAAGCAGUGGGAGCACAGGUUUACCUGUGUGACUGCGUACCUUUUGUAUAAUGGGUCAGCGACUUAUAUUCUGUAGCAAGGUUAACCGUAUAGGGGAGCCGCAGGGAAACCGAGUCUUAACCGGGCGUUAAGUUGCAGGGUAUAGACCCGAAACCCGGUGAUCUAGCCAUGGGCAGGUUGAAGGUUGGGUAACACUAACUGGAGGACCGAACAGACUAAUGUUGAAAAA